rnacentral:tRNA from 1 species
ACCGAAAUAGCUCAGUUGGGAGAGCGUUAGACUACAGAUCGAAAGGCCCCAGGUUUGAUCCCGGGAUUCGGCA